UCAAGGUUGCGGUUAAUAGGAAAGCAACAACGAGCUCAACAAACAUACAAUGGUUCUUGAAAUUUAAAAUGGCGACCAGGGGUUCACCGUCAUCGCCUGCUCGGAAUGAACCAAGAAAAGCGUUAUUCCGUUCACCAGCUCCUUUCGAAGAUAACCAGUCAACACCAGUCAUAGAUCAUGUGAUUGCUGUCUUGUGUGUGGAAAGGGAUAUGGAACAAUGUCUUAAAACAACACAAAAAGAACUACAUACGCACAGACUCACACAGAUGCGAGAUCUUCUUGGGACUUUGCAAGAGAAUGAAUGGAGGUAUAAACCUGUGGAGAAACUGAUAGGACUGUGAUGUGCACCGUCAAUGUAUUCACUAACUAAUAGCUAGUACUGAAAAUAACCAGCUAAAGAUCCAGCAAUCAAAUGAACAACAUGAAGUGGACUGCACAUUGCCUUCAGAGUAGACAACAGAGCGCCCUCAGAGUUGACAACAGGAUGCCUUUAGAGCAUCAUCAAGGUUGACAAUGGAGCACCCAUAGAGCGCCCUUACAGUUGGCUGUCAGUAACAAUGUCUAGCAUUUGAACCGUUUUAACCUUAUUUGUUUCUAAUUUGUUUAUAUUAUUAAAAUUAACUUAUUAAUUUCAUAAAAACAUUCUUGUAAUUAUCUUAUCAUACAAUGCAUUGCGUUAUACUCACACCAUAGAUAUUUAUGCAAAUAAAAAACAAUUUUUUUACUGAACU